GUAUGGUCCGAGCGUUGUCCGGGAAUGACUGGGCGUAAAGGGUGCGUAGGCGGACAUAUAUGUCAGGUGUGAAAUCCCCGGGGCUUAACCUGGGGAACUGCGCUUGAAACUGUAUGUCUAGAGUAUGUGAGUGGUAAGCGGAAUUCCCGGAGUAGCGGUGAAAUGCGUAGAUAUCGGGAAGAACACCAGUGGCGAAGGCGGCUUACUGGCGCAUUACUGACGCUGAGGCACGAAAGCGUGGGGAGCGAACGGGAUUAGAUACCCCGGUAGUCCACGCUGUAAACGAUGUAUACUAGAUGUCGGGCUCGAUUACAGAGCUUGGUGUCGUAGCAAACGCGAUAAGUAUACCGCCUGGGGAGUACGGUCGCAAGAUUA
rnacentral:rRNA from 1 species